AGAGUUUGAUCCUGGCUCAGAACGAACGCUGGCGGCAUGCUUAACACAUGCAAGUCGAACGAGAUCUUCGGAUCUAGUGGCGCACGGGUGAGUAACGCGUGGGAACCUACCAUUCUGUACGGAAUAACGUCUGGAAACGGACGCUAAUACCGUAUACGCCCUGUGGGGGAAAGGUCCGCCGCAGAAUGAGGGGCCCGCGUCCGAUUAGCUUGUUGGUGAGGUAAUGGCUUACCAAGGCGACGAUCGGUAGCUGGUCUGAGAGGAUGAUCAGCCACACUGGGACUGAGACACGGCCCAGACUCCUACGGGAGGCAGCAGUGGGGAAUAUUGGACAAUGGGGGAAACCCUGAUCCAGCAAUGCCGCGUGUGUGAUGAAGGCCCUAGGGUUGUAAAGCACUUUCAAUGGUGAAGAUGAUGACGGUAGCCAUAGAAGAAGCCCCGGCUAACUUCGUGCCAGCAGCCGCGGUAAUACGAAGGGGGCGAGCGUUGUUCGGAAUUACUGGGCGUAAAGCGCACGCAGGCGGAUUGUUAAGCUAGAGGUGAAAGCCCCGCGCUCAACGUGGGAAUUGCCUUUAGAACUGGCAGUCUAGAGUCUUGGAGAGGGGAGUGGAAUUCCAGGUGUAGCGGUGAAAUGCGUAGAGAUCUGGAGGAACAUCAGUGGCGAAGGCGACUCCCUGGCCAAAGACUGACGCUCAUGUGCGAAAGUGUGGGUAGCGAACAGGAUUAGAUACCCUGGUAGUCCACACCGUAAACGCUGUCUACUAGCUGUUUGUGACUUUAAGUCGUGCGUAGCGAAGCUAACGCGAUAAGUAGACCGCCUGGGGAGUACGGCCGCAAGGUUAAAACUCAAAUGAAUUGACGGGGGCCCGCACAAGCGGUGGAGCAUGUGGUUUAAUUCGAUGCAACGCGAAGAACCUUACCUACACUUGACAUGCAGAGAACUUUCCAGAGAUGGAUUGGUGCCUUCGGGAACUCUGACACAGGUGCUGCAUGGCUGUCGUCAGCUCGUG
rnacentral:rRNA from 1 species